CCUACGGGUGGCAGCAGUGAGGAAUAUUGGUCAAUGGCCGUAAGGCUGAACCAGCCAAGUCGCGUGAAGGAAGAAGGAUCUAUGGUUUGUAAACUUCUUUUAUAGGGGAAUAAAGGUAUCCACGUGUGGGUGUUUGCAUGUACCCUAUGAAUAAGCAUCGGCUAACUCCGUGCCAGUAGCCGCGGUAAUACGGAGGAUGCGAGCGGUAUCCGGAUUUAUUGGGUUUAAAGGGUGCGUAGGUUGUUUUGUAAGUCAGCGGUGAAAGUUUGUGUCUCAAACCUAAGAUUGCCGUUGAAACUGGAAGACUUGAGUGUGUGUGAAGUAGGCGGAAUGCGUGGUGUAGCGGUGAAAUGCAUAGAUAUCACGCAGAACUCCGAUUGCGAAGGCAGCUUACUGAGCCACAACUGACACUGAGGCACGAAAGCGUGGGGAUCGAACAGGAUUAGAUACCCUUGUAGUC
rnacentral:rRNA from 1 species